CUGAGCUACAAACAUCGAGGUCUCGUUCAUUAAUUAAGAUAAAACAACAGCGUUCAGGUUUGGAGCGACGUGAGGGAUGCCAUGACGUGUAAAACACACCUGCACAUUGGCAAAGUCAACCCGGUUGAGAUCGCUGAGCAUCUGGUUGAUCUGGGAGGUGUUCUGCAGCACUGCACGGGCCCGCCUGCGCCAGAUGAUUCAGAGACGU